rnacentral:lncRNA from 1 species
UUAAAAUUUUAUCUUUAUUUCAUGAUAGGUACCUGAAGAGAAUUUGACAAUUUCUAAUUGCAAGAAAAAGAAAAAGAAGAGACUAGCAAUAAGGUUAGCAUCUUCAACUUGCAAAGAAAAAGCCACAUUUCACGGAUAUGAUUCAUGGGACUUAUUUGAGUAUUGACUUUUCUGAACAUGCUGGAGAGGAUGUGGAGUAGCAGGAGGAAGAAUUAGUCUAAUUUGGAAAUGCGUGCCGAUCCAAUAAUCUAAUUGCACAUCCUACAUGACCUGGUGUCUGCUUUUGUGACUGAGAUAAAAUCUGUUUCUUCGGAGACUCAUCACCUCUCCCUGCCUUUCCAGGAUCUAAUUUCAUAUGAAGUUGAAGUUCAUAUAACUUCAUGAUAGGGGAAGAGAGGGAAAUGGGAAGAAGCU